ACCGUACCUGUGCAGCUGUUUUGUU
rnacentral:piRNA from 1 species